AGCUAAUUAGUUGUUCUUUAGCAAGGAGUUGGAAGGUUAAGCCUAGCUGUUACAGUUGUUUAUGUUUGUGAAUAGGUGCAUAACUUGUGAAAGUACUCAUUCCUUCCUGAAAUGUGUUAGUAGUAGUAACAGGUAAGAAGAUUCCACUUAAGAGUAUUAUGUCACUGUAAAUGUCUUGGCUCUGCUUAUCUAUGUUUUUCUCUCUCCAACCGUUUUGUUACUAUUUUUUUUAUUUUCAUUAAGGUAGUAGAUUAUUCUGAUUGGGUUUUGAAUUCUUCUACAUAGACAUUUUUUGGAAAUGAUCCUUAAUUUAGGAACUAACUAAGUUGGUAGAGUAGAAAUUCAAAGUCACCAUGAAAAUGUCGAAACCUAUCUAACCUGCAAUGGAAAGCAGAUCCAUCUGCUCAAUUUUCUGAGUUAUGCAAACUCUUGCUGAUUUUUGGAGGCCACGUGGAACUAACUAAGUUGGUAGAGUAGAAAUUCAAAGUCACCAUGAAAAUGUCGAAACCUAUCUAACCUGCAAUGGAAAGCAGAUCCAUCUGCUCGAUUUUCCGAGUUAUGCAAACUCUUGCUGAUUUUUGGAGGCCACGUGGAGAUGGGGUUUUGGACUGAAAGUUGGGAUCUCAUGGUGUAUUCGUAGUUAAAGAAUAUUAAAUGAGGAAGUAGUUGUAAAAUGGGUGAAAUUCAAUUAUGUUUGGAUGUGUAUAUGUCAAAAAAGGAGAGGAGAUCAUCAAAAUCUUCACCGGUGUACAGCACUAUGGGAUCUUUUCAUUCGUCUUUUCUUCCUUUGCCUAUCAAUACUACUGUGACAUAUUCACUGACAUUAUUUCGAUAGUCUGGUUACA
rnacentral:lncRNA from 1 species